rnacentral:rRNA from 1 species
UACGUAGGGUGCAAGCGUUAAUCGGAAUUACUGGGCGUAAAGCGUGCGCAGGCGGUGAUGUAAGACAGAUGUGAAAUCCCCGGGCUCAACCUGGGAACUGCAUUUGUGACUGCAUCGCUGGAGUGCGGCAGAGGGGGAUGGAAUUCCGCGUGUAGCAGUGAAAUGCGUAGAUAUGUGGAGGAAUACCGAUGGCGAAGGCAGCCCCCCUGGGAUAACACUGACGCUCAUGCACGAAAGCGUGGGGAGCAAACAGG